rnacentral:rRNA from 1 species
CCGGCGACCGGCGCACGGGUGAGUAACACGUAUGCAACCUGCCCUCUUCAGGGGGACAACCUUCCGAAAGGGAGGCUAAUCCCGCGUAUAUCGGUUUCGGGCAUCCGAGAUCGAGGAAAGACUCAUCGGAAGAGGAUGGGCAUGCGGCGCAUUAGCUAGACGGCGGGGUAACGGCCCACCGUGGCGACGAUGCGUAGGGGUUCUGAGAGGAAGGUCCCCCACACUGGUACUGAGACACGGACCAGACUCCUACGGAAGGCAGCAG